GAUGAACGCUGGCGGCGUGCCUAAUACAUGCAAGUCGAGCGAACGGACGAGAAGCUUGCUUCUCUGAUGUUAGCGGCGGACGGGUGAGUAACACGUGGAUAACCUACCUAUAAGACUGGGAUAACUUCGGGAAACCGGAGCUACUACCGGAUAAUAUUUUGAACCGCAUGGUUCAAAAGUGAAAGACGGUCUUGCUGUCACUUAUAGAUGGAUCCGCGCUGCAUUAGCUAGUUGGUAAGGUAACGGCUUACCAAGGCAACGAUGCAUAGCCGACCUGAGAGGGUGAUCGGCCACACUGGAACUGAGACACGGUCCAGACUCCUACGGGAGGCAGCAGUAGGGAAUCUUCCGCAAUGGGCGAAAGCCUGACGGAGCAACGCCGCGUGAGUGAUGAAGGUCUUCGGAUCGUAAAACUCUGUUAUUAGGGAAGAACAGAUGUGGAAGUAACUGUGCACAUCUUGACGGUACCUAAUCAGAAAGCCACGGCUAACUACGUG
rnacentral:rRNA from 1 species